rnacentral:ncRNA from 1 species
AUUCACUAGGGGCGCAGACUUGUUCUGCUGAGAGACUUAUGUCGACCCUUGGAACCUGUUGGGUUAAUACCUGCGUAGGGAAGUGA